rnacentral:lncRNA from 1 species
GGAGCCCCUAUCCUACAACCCUGAUACUAGACCUCCAGACUUUCCUAUCAAGGGCCGUGUCCUCGGAAACCCACAUUCUAGUCAUGUCAUGCCUAAUCACCUCUCCCCAGUACCUCUUAGGCCUCCCUCUGCCUCGCCAUACGCCGACCAUCGCAAGUCGCUCACAACUCCUCACCGGAGAAUCAGGACUUCUCCUCCGCACAUGCCCGAACCACCUCAGCCUCGCUUCUCGCAUCUUCUCAUCCACCAGGGCCACCUCCACCUUCUCUCGAAUAACUUCAUUCUUAAUCUUAUCUAACCUAGUGAGCCCGCAUAUCCCCCUGAGCNNNNNNNNNNGAGGAGUACGAAAAACUCUAGGGGCCCCUAUCCUACAACCCUGAUACUAGACCUCCAGACUUUCCUAUCAAGGGCCAUGUCCUCAGAAACCCGCAUUCUUGCCAUGUCAUGCCUAAUCACUUCUCCCCAAUACCUCUUAGGCCUCCCUCUGUCUCGCCGUGCGCCGACCAUCGCCAGCCGCUCACAACUCCUGACCGGGGCAUCAGGACUUCUCCUCCGUACAUGCCCGAACCACCUCAGCCUCGCUUCUCACAUC